AUAAAAGGUACUACUUUACCAUAAAUAGGAUUCCGAUGAAAAAACCGAGGAACUGGAAUGCCAUUGCAGCUUCGUGAUACCACAAGCUUUGGUCUGCAUC